GACGAACGCUGGCGGCGUGCCUAAUACAUGCAAGUAGAACGCUGAAGAGAGGAGCUUGCUCUUCUUGGAUGAGUUGCGAACGGGUGAGUAACGCGUAGGUAACCUGCCUUGUAGCGGGGGAUAACUAUUGGAAACGAUAGCUAAUACCGCAUAACAAUGGAUGACACAUGUCAUUUAUUUGAAAGGGGCAAUUGCUCCACUACAAGAUGGACCUGCGUUGUAUUAGCUAGUAGGUGAGGUAAUGGCUCACCUAGGCGACGAUACUUAGCCGACCUGAGAGGGUGAUCGGCCACACUGGGACUGAGACACGGCCCAGACUCCUACGGGAGGCAGCAGUAGGGAAUCUUCGGCAAUGGGGGCAACCCUGACCGAGCAACGCCGCGUGAGUGAAGAAGGUUUUCGGAUCGUAAAGCUCUGUUGUAAGUCAAGAACGGGUGUGAGAGUGGAAAGUUCACACUGUGACGGUAGCUUACCAGAAAGGGACGGCUAACUACGUG
rnacentral:rRNA from 1 species